rnacentral:snoRNA from 1 species
GCAAUGAUGAUACUCCAUUAUUUUUUAAACAGUUAUCCCUGUCUUAACACAUUAUGUCGAGAAGUUUUAUUCUGAAGAUUAC